AGCAGCCGCGGUAAUUCCAGCUCCAAUAGCGUAUAUUAAAGUUGUUGCAGUUAAAAAGCUCGUAGUUGAACUUCAGGCCUGUCCAGAUGGUCCGCCUUAAUUGGUGUGUACUGUCCUUGGGUGGGUCCUACCUUCUGGCGAAGCGGCAUGGCCUUUAGUUGGUUGUGUUGGGGAACCAGGACUUUUACUGUGAAAAAAUUAGAGUGUUCAAAGCAGGCAUAAUAUGCUCGAAUACAUUAGCAUGGAAUAAUGGAAUAGGACGAUGGUUCUAUUUUGUGGUUCUAGGACCGUUGUAAUGAUUAAUAGGGAUAGUUGGGGGCAUUAGUAUUCAAUUAUCAGAGGUGAAAUUCUUGGAUUUAUUGAAGACUAACUACUGCGAAAGCAUUUGCCAAGGAUGUUUUCAUUAAUCAAGAACGAAAGUUAGGGAUCGAAGACGAUCAGAUACCGUCGUAGUCUUAACCAUAAACUAUGCCGACUAGGAAUCGGGCGAUUGUUGACAAAAUGACUCGCUUCGGA
rnacentral:misc_RNA from 1 species